CAACUUCCGAGGCGCCCUCAUUGCCAGCCGGACCCCAGCCUCCGACAGGUUCGGGCGCCCUGCUUGCCCCGUGCUUCGCCGGCCCCCGCCCAGCGCCCGGCCCCUCCGGCUCCACUCCGCUCGCUCGGUCGGUCGCUCCGACGCCAUGGACACGUUUUGGUGGCGCGCAGCUUGGGGACUCUGCCUCGUGCAGCUGAGCCUGGCGCAGAUCGAUCUGAAUAUAACCUGCCGAUAUGCAGGCGUAUUCCACGUGGAGAAGAAUGGUCGCUACAGCAUCUCCAAGACUGAGGCUGCCGACCUCUGCAAGGCCUUCAAUAGCACGCUGCCCACCAUGGCCCAGAUGGAGGUGGCCCGGAGCAUAGGGUUUGAGACCUGCAGGUACGGGUUCAUAGACGGGCAUGUGGUGAUUCCCCGGAUCCACCCCAAUUCCAUCUGUGCUGCGAACAACACAGGGGUUUACAUCCUCACAUCCAACACCUCCCAGUAUGACACGUACUGCUUCAAUGCCUCAGCUCCACUUGGAGAAGACUGUACCUCAGUCACGGACCUGCCCAAUGCCUUUGAAGGACCCAUUACCAUAACUAUUGUAAACCGCGAUGGCACCCGUUAUACCAAGAAAGGCGAAUACAGAACGAACCCCGAAGACAUCAACCCCAGCAUCGUGAGCCCCAGCAGCCCUCCUGAUGAUGAGAUGAGCAGUGGCUCCCCCAGCGAGAGAAGCACGUCAGGAGGCUACAGCAUCUUCCACACGCACCUCCCAACUGCGUACCCACCCCCAGACCAAGACAGCCCCUGGGUCUCCAGCAAACCAGAGAAUACCUCGGAUACCACUCAGAUACUAAAGCAAGUCACCGCAACAGGUACGGAUUCAAGUAUCAUCUCAGCAGGCUGGGAGCCAACUGAAGAAAAUGAAGAUGAAAGAGACAGACACCCCAGUUAUUCUGGAUCAGGCAUUGAUGAUGAUGAAGAUUUUAUCUCCAGCACCAUUUCAACCACACCACGGGUUUUUACCCACCCACAACAGAACCCGAAUUGGAUCCAAAGGAACCCAGACCAUUCGAAUCCAGAAGCAUCACCUCAGACAACCACAAGGAUGACUGAUGUGGACAGAAGUAGCACCAGUGCUUAUGGAGAACGCUGGACCCAGGAACCGCACUCUUCUCUCAGUCACCAUGGGUAUCAGGAUGAAGAGGAGACCCCGCAUCCUACAAGCACAACCCAGGCACCCACUACUAGUACAGCAGAAGAAACAGCUACCCAGAAAGAGCAGUGGUUUGAGAAUGGAAGGCCUGGGGAAUAUCCCCAAACACCAAAAGAAGACUCUCAUUCAACAGCAGGGACAACUGAUAGGAACGAUGGAAGAAGAGGUGGAAAUCUUCCUGAAGAUGCAACUACUUCAGUGGAAGGUUACACUCAUUCUCCAGAUACAAAUGAAUACACAACCCUCACCCCAAUGACCCCCACUAAGACUGGGUCCCCUGGAGUUACUGAAGUUACUGUUGUUGGAGAUUCCACCUCUAAGGCUGAUCUUACUUUACCAGGAGACUAUGGCUCGUCCCACGACCCCAGUGGAAGGUCCUAUACAACUCAUGCAUCUGAAUCAGCUGGACACUCAAGUGGGAGUGAAGACCAUGGGGCAAACACAACCUCAGGUCCUAUACGGAAACCUCAAAUUCCGGAAUGGCUGAUCAUCUUGGCAUCUCUCCUGGCCUUGGCUUUGAUUCUCGCGGUUUGCAUUGCUGUCAACAGUAGGAGAAGGUGUGGGCAGAAGAAAAAACUGGUGAUCAACAAUGGGAAUGGAACCAUGGAGGAGAGAAAGCCUAGCGGACUCAACGGAGAAGCUAGCAAGUCUCAGGAGAUGGUGCAUUUGGUGAACAAGGGGUCGUCAGAGACCCCAGACCAGUUUGUGACGGCAGAUGAGACACGGAACCUGCAGAAUGUGGAUAUGAAGAUUGGGGUGUAACACCUACUCUGUGACCUUGGAAAUAAACCACCAUUGGAGACACAACCAUUACAGGGAGCUGGGACACUUCACAGAUGCAGUGUGCUACUGAUUGUUUCAUUGGGGAUCUUUUUUUUUAGCA
rnacentral:lncRNA from 1 species